GUCCCUAUAUGCUAGAAUUCACUUGUCAUACCAAAAUUAGUGCUGCAACCGAGCAAAUAACUGGGCCUAAGUAUAUCUACAACCUGACUCCUUUUGAAAAACUCCCAGAAUUCAUCAAUGACACAAAAAAAUUCCAUGAUAUCCUUGGCAUUAUAACAGAAAUCAAUGAACCAGAGUGGAUUCCCUUCUCCAAUCAGCCUAAUCCUUCCCUACGACGUGACAUUAGAUUGACAGAUGGAUGUGGCCAAGAGAUAAAAAUGGCAAUUUGGGGUU